rnacentral:rRNA from 1 species
UACGUAGGCAGCAAGCGUUGUUCGGAAUUACUGGGCGUAAAGAGUGUGUAGGCGGUGCUCUAAGUUCGGUGUGAAAUCUCCCGGCUCAACUGGGAGGGUGCGCCGGAAACUGGGGGUGCUGGAGCGCGGGAGAGGUGCGUGGAAUUCCCGGUGUAGCGGUGAAAUGCGUAGAUAUUGGGAGGAACACCAGUGGCGAAGGCGGCUCACUGGACCGGAACUGACGCUGAGGCGCGAAAGCGUGGGGAGCAAACAGG